rnacentral:rRNA from 1 species
GACGAACCGUGCGAACGUUGUUCGGAUUCACUGGGCUUAAAGGGCGCGUAGGCGGGCCAUCAAGUCAGGGGUGAAAUCUUUCGGCUCAACCGGAAAAGUGCCUUUGAUACUGGUGGUCUCGAGGGAGGUAGGGGCAUGCGGAACUUCCGGUGGAGCGGUGAAAUGCGUAGAUAUCGGGAGGAACACCAGAGGCGAAGGCGGCGACCUGGAAGGUGACUGACACUGAGCAGCGAAAGCGUGGGUAGCAAACAGG